rnacentral:lncRNA from 1 species
CCCAGACCUGCCGAGCGACGUGGGCGAGCGGUGACCUGGACCACGGCGCAGACGCGGGCGAGCUGCGGCUCGGACGCCAGCGGACACGCGGGCGAGGGCCUUGGGAACUCCAAGACAGAAUGGCCCGAGGCCUGGACACUCUCUGAGGACAUCUCUGCAAAGGCCCCAGCGGCCCAGGCCAGUGGGAUGCGGGCUGCUGGCCCUGUCCAGACUCUCAUACUGUGGGGCAGGGUUGCAGAGGCCCCUCCCUGGGUUUGCUCUGGGGUGGCAGAGAGCCAUUGUGAGUCAGUUCAGUGUGGUGGGCAGCGCUGUCUUGCAGCCCAAGGAAGCCGUCCUGGAGGAGGGAGCCUGACCCUCCAGCUGGGCUUGAAUGAGGAAGAGGCUAGAUAGAGGCCUGGCAGUGGGGCAGGGGUGGGGACUGUUUGUGAGCAGCCGUGUGGCAGGUAUGAUAGGAAGAAGGACUGGAGGGGUAGACAGGCACUGCCAUCCAUAGCCUGGAAAGUGUCACCAACAGGGCAGGAUUUCAUCCGAGAAGUAACAGGGAGGCUGGGCACAGUAGCUCAGGCCUGUAAUCUCCACGCUUUCAGAGGCUGAGGCAAGAAGAUGGCUUGAGCCCAG